rnacentral:lncRNA from 1 species
ACGAGUUCAACGGAUCCACGUAAAUCAAGAGAUAAGGUAUACAUCGACGCCGCGGCCAGGGACGCCUCGCCGGAACACAAGAAGGCGCUGCUUCUGAACGCCUUAGGCGUCGAGGGACUGAACACCUAUCUGCGUGCCGCCGAAGAUGAGCAGCAGCCGGGAGCCGACCGGCCAACUCAGGAGGAGACGCCGAACGUGUACGACGCAGCCCUUGCGCUGCUCA